AUUGAACGCUGGCGGCAGGCCUAACACAUGCAAGUCGAACGAGUGGCGGACGGGUGAGUAAUGUCUGGGAAACUGCCUGAUGGAGGGGGAUAACUACUGGAAACGGUAGCUAAUACCGCAUACCAUAAGAUGUGACCAGAUGGGAUUAGCUUGUUGGUGGGGUAACGGCGAACCAAGGCGACGAUCCCUAGCUGGUCUGAGAGGAUGACCAGCCACACUGGAACGGAUACACGGUCCAGACUCCUACGGGAGGCAGCAGUGGGGAAUAUUGCGCAAUGGGCGAAAGCCUGAUGCAGCCAUGCCGCGUGUGUGAAGAAGGCCUUCGGGUUGUAAAGUACUGUCAGCGGGGAGGCGUUACCCGCAGAAUAAGCACCGGCUAACUCCGUGCCAGCAGCCGCGGUAAUAC
rnacentral:rRNA from 1 species